CAGUGGGAAACCAGCAGAGGCGGUUUUGCACACUCCGUUCAAGAAGCAACGCUGUUCUCUUACACGCGGGCACACACACACGUCCCACUCCCAAGCCUUUUUUUCUUCUUCUUCUCCCGUAUGUACAUAGGAUCGCGCAGCAGGGCCACCCGCCCUCCUUCUCGGACGUCCUUUUGAAGAAGAGACACGCUUGCACACGCCUUCGUGCAGCCUUAGUAGCGCGCCACUAUAGGGGUCGAGGAAAGGUGGGGAACAACGCGUGCACCCACCUCCCCUCCCCUUCGUCCUUUGCUGGGUUUACACACGGACACUUUUCACACGCGCGGAGGCCCCACACGCGUUUGGUCUGUGUUUCACACGCGCUAGACCGCUUCACACGCGCGCGCGUCCCCAGCGCGCUACUUAAAGGGAUUCCCUUUCAUCCACUUUCUCCGGCUCAUCUACACGGCUGAGAAAAUUUAAGGAUUCAGCGCACCUGUUCAUGCCAGUUUUCUAGCACAGAGACAGUCUUAAGUCGGUAGUGGGGGAGACCACCUGAUAGCUUUGGGGCUGGUCUUUUUACUUUGUUUUGGGAAAUGGCUUUGGGGCAGGACUUUUAAUUCACAGAAUUAAUUCUAGCGUCAUUCUCCAAAUGUCCAAAUUGAGUUGCAAUGUGGUUUUAAAACAGUCAAGCCAUUUUUACGCUUUCAAAUAUGGUGCUUAAUAGGGCACUCUGAGCUGAAAGAUGCACCAGUUGUGGUGGGUUUAAUAUGCUGACGAGUGUGGUGGCCUAUCUGCCCUUGUUCAGAAGCCUGGCUGAUCUCAGCAAUCAGAACAGGGAAACAAAGAGGGUGGGAAAAGGAGAAAUGGUUUCUUCCCUAGCCCAGGAACAUGGGCGCUAGGUGCCACAACGUUAGGCCAGAGAGAAGAUAGUCCAAAGUUCCUGCUAGACUGAAAGGGGUUGGGAUUCAGUGCAUCCUUAGAUGACCCGAGUCUAGCUCAGUUGGCCCUCAACUAUUUCACCUAGGUAAGAUUAUGCUCUGAGAGUGUUGGAUUGGGGCCUCAAGAGAGUUGGAUGUAAAUGAGACGUCAACUUGAUUGGAGUUGCCAUGAGCAGCUAAUCAGUGGCUAAAAUCCAACUGGUGCAACUCUUCCAGGAUAACUGCUGAUUACAUCAUCAGCCCAUGGUGUUACUGUUUAAUUAAUUAGGGAAGCCUUCGGGAGGAGAAACCAGAGACUAGUAAACCUUUAAUUGCCAUCAGUUUUCCACAGCUGGGAUUAUAUAACCACAGCUAGCAAUCCAAUGGUGAUUUUCUAAUACAAUGGUGCCUCACCUGACGAGGAUAAUUUGUUCCAUUCAAAUCGCUGUUAAGCAAAAUCCUCGUCAAGCGAAAUGAAAAAGCCCAUUGAAAUGCAUUGAAAACUGGUUCAAUGCGUUCCAAUGGGCGAAAUACCUCAGCGUCCAGUGAAGAUCCUCCAUAGGGUGGCCAUUUUCGGUGCCUGUAAAGUGAGGAAUCCAUCCUAAAACACAGCGGGGAGCCAUUUUAAACAGCAGGCAGCCAUUUUGAAGACCCAACAAUCAGCUGUAAAGAUCGUCGCUAAGCAAAAAAUUGGUUCCCAAAGCAGGGAACCGAUUGUCAUUAAGCGAUUUUUGUCUAUUAAAACAUCAUUUUGCAAUCACAAAAGCAAUCGCAAAAACUUCAUUGUCAAGCGAUUUCCUCAUCUAACGAGGUAAUCGUCAAGCAAGGCACCACUGUAUAAAAAACUUCCCCUUUCUCAAGGACCCCAGAAGCUUUCCCAGAUCAAAAGGGAUCCUAGCGAAUCUCAGAACCUGAAAAAAGAAGCAUUAAAUUAAAUUAAAAAGAAUAAUAUCACAGGCUGAUUGCCAUUUAAGCCCACAUGGUAACUCACCAGGAUUUCACCCAAUAUUUCUUAGCCUUACCUUAGAGAGCUGUUGUGAGCAUUAAAAGUGGACGGAAGUAAUGUACACCACGUUGAGACCAUUACAGGGAGGAUGAGAUGUAAAUUGCACUAAUGUACAACAAAUACAUGAACAUAUAUAGGUCAAAAUUCUCUCAGACAUUUACAGGAGUGCAAAAAGAAUUGCAGAAAUUGCCACAGCUAAUGGUAGGUAAUUGACAAGACACUUGGUGCACAACUGAGCAUGUGAUCAGGCAUGCCACGGACACUCAAAUGGCACCUCAUCAACAAGCUGCCGUAACAAUGUUUAUUUGUUACAAUCACACAGCGCCCACAAUCUUAUUGUUCUUGCAUGCAUGUGAGUAUGCAAUAAGGUUCUGGCUAUUAUGCAACCGUAACAAAUAAAUAUUUUUAAACACCUCUGCCCUAACA
ensembl:lncRNA